GGUGAUGUAGCUCAGUGGUAGAGCGUCCGCUUCGCAUGCGGAAGGCCCGGGGUUCGAUCCCCCGCAUCUCCA
rnacentral:tRNA from 1 species